UACCCAUGUUAGUCCAUGUUAGGCCUCCCUAUCUACCCCAACUUCCUUGUUUGGUUGGCAUGUUAGCUAUCUACCUGACCCGGAUCUUCCAUCCCACGACCCGACUGAAACGUAGACACGGGAAACCAAAAUGCAGAUAACUCAAUCUCUAGUUUAACCUGCGAUAGGGAGGAAGAAAGGAGCUUGAAGCUUUGGCAUUUCACCCAAUUGACUUCCAUACCCCUGACCUUUAUUCUCCAUUCACUCCAUGGAUCGGCAAAAUUGCAGCACAAUCAACUAGCACUUGCUGUAUCGCGACGCGUUCAUCUACAAAAUUGGUUUGGGUCGAACAUCGUGGUUGCCGUUGGUGGUCGUCUGAAUUAUAAUUUCAUAAUGGGCUUAACCAAUUUCUAUGUAUAAAUGAUUUAGUCGCUACUCGGAGACUCCGCCGAAUCGAAUUUCGUGAUUCAUUCGUCAACGGGAUGGAGACUGUUGGAACUCAUGUUGCGAAUUCGGAAUUGAAGUCCAGUCAUCGUGAUCACGUUUCGCAUCUUUCUCUUGAUAUAGGAGGUUCUCUAAUAAAGAUGGUUUACUUCUCAAGUGGCAGUAGCUCCUCCUCCUCUGAUGAUGAUGAUGAGAAACACAGCUAUUUAAAGGAGGGAAUCUCACUUUGAAUGAAAUGAACUCAGUAUAGCCAAACUUUUCUGGGAUUGUUGUGGUAGAUUGUUGAAGGUAAUCGACAUUUCCCUCAGCUUAAUUUGUAUAACUAACUGUAUGAAUCUAUCAUCCAGGAUUCAUAAUUGUAUUUGCGUAUUCAUUCUUUGAUGAAUGGAAGUUCAGUUCUUGGUUUGA